UUUUAUUUUAGACGAAACGACGCCUUUUUGCUCUGCUCAGUUUUAUCCCCAACUCAUCGUCGAAAUCCCUUAUUUUUUUCCCCUAAAAAUUUUCCUCAAAUCCCUAAUUCCUCAAAUCAAAAUCCCCAAAUCUUUCCCCAACCAUCUGCUGCAUCGCCGUUAGCUAUCCCCUCUGCCGCAUCGCCGUCGAAAUCAAUAGGUAUGAUACUGUUCAGUUUUUUUUCUUUUGCCCCUCUUGUUCAUAUCGUGUUCGAGUCAGAUGCAAGAGAUGAAGGGGAUCUCUCAUCUCAUAGAAUUUGAUUUAUUGAAGUUAUAGGUUAUGAAAUGGAUUUAUCUGUAUUUGAUAUGCAUUCUAUUUGUUAAGAACAUAGCUUUUUCAUAAUGAUAUUAUUGACUAUAUAUCUGAUUUUAUGGCUGUUUUAGUCACAACUUUUUCCAUUUAACAUGAAAUCAGAUAUUGCAAGAUUUCAUGAAAAACACCCAACUUGCCCGGACGAGUCUCUGUUUAAUUUGUUUUGUUGAGGACGAGUAGUAGUUAAAGAGAAGCGAAGAGUUGGAGCAAGAAUUCAUGUCUUUUAUAAACGAAAUAGAGUGGAGAUUUUGCCUUCCACAUUAGAGCCGCCAUGAGUAUCUGCUAACUUAUGUAAGACAGAACUGACAAUGAAUGAACCUGGCGAUGUUUUGUAAGAUUACAUGUUUUGAUGAAGAACAAUUUAUUCAUAAUCUGAAACAUUUCAAACCCACCCAAUUUGUCAGCUGAAAGAAAUCCAAGCAAUGAAGCACUAAUUAUUCAGCUGAAAUACCAGACGUACAACCAACCAUUUUUGUUCAACAAACUUUGGGGGAAAAAGCAUAAAACAGCUUGGAACAACCAAUUAAUUUGCUACAAAUUUGGACUUUCUUCAUGUGUUUUAUGCUCAUUUUGAUCUGAACUCUGACUGAAAACAAAGAUGUAGAAAUGAAGAUAAGACACAAAAAAGUAAAAAUAGAAAGAAAGGCAUGGUGUUUUCUGGCUCAAUUCUUUUUGAUCAUUUCUGCCAUCCUUGCACUUUUUUUUAUCUUGUAAACAAAGAAGCUCUUAUUUUGCUGCUUUGAAUUGUAUUUUGUUCAUUCUCACUCCUAUUUCCCGUUGUUUAGAAGACUUGUGGUUCUGAAGUGUGGUCAUUGCAUUGCGUAAAAGCUUUUAUUUUUAUUUUUCUUCUUUUUUAAGAUGAGUCUAGGAGAUGUACUUAUGGUGUUUUCUGCCAAAUAUUUCGUGCAUGUUAAUGGCAGAUGUUUUCUGAUUUUAUAAUGUUAGCAAGAAGACUUUUUCUUUUUGCAACUAGCUAAUGAGGCCUUCUCUUUUGUUAAUUUCUUGUCUUGUCAACGAUGAUCCAAUCCUUCAAUUAACUUUCACAGUAUUUCAACAAAUCUAAUUUAAUGGAAAAAUAUGUGUUCCCCAAACCUAUUUCAUUUAGUAGCUGCUAAAUUCAUAGAAUAUCUCGUAUUAAUUGUUGUCUGUAUAUGAUCUGUUUACCUUAAAUAGGGUUCUCACCUGUUUUGUGCAUUAUACAUUUAAUAUCUAUAGAUACAAAGACGUCUUGCACAAAAUCGUGAGGCUGCUCGUAAAAGUCGUUUGCAGAAAAAGGUAAGUGGAUGUUGGUUUGCACUGAAACAGAUGGGCUAAAGGCAACAUUUGAACUUCUGUAAUAACUUGAUUUGGAAUUGUCUUUCAAGCAUAUGUUCAACAGUUAGAAAGUAGUCGUUUAAAGUUGAUUUAAUUGGAGAGAGAGCUUGAACAAGCAAGAGAAAAAGUUUGAAGAAGAUUAAUAUUGUUGCUAUUUUUGUUUUUCUUUUUUUCACUUUAGAAUUGUUUAAAGCUACUUAAGCAAUAAAACUUUUGCAGCAAGGUCUUUAUUUUUUUAUUUUAAAAUUUAAGAUAACUUGAGUUCUAACUUUUGGAUUUU
rnacentral:lncRNA from 1 species